CCUGGUUGAUCCUGUCAGUAGUCAUAUGCUUGUCUCAAAGAUUAAGCCAUGCAUGUCUAAGUAUAAGCAAUCUUUACAGUGAAACUGCGAAUGGCUCAUGAAAUCAGUUAUCGUUUAUUGGAUAGUUUCUUUGCUACUUGGAUAGCCGUGGUAAUUCUAGAGCUAAUACAUGCUAAAAAUCCCGACCCCUGGAAGGGAUGUAUUUAUUAGAUAAAAAACCAGCGGCCUCGGCCUCCUUGGUGAUUCAUGAUAACUUAACGAAUCGCAUGGCCUUGCGCCGGCGAUGGUUCAUUCAAAUUUCUGUCCUAUCAACUUUCGAUAGUAGUAUAGUGGCCUACCAUGGUUUCAAUGGGUAACGGAGAAUUAGGGUUCUAUUCUGGAGAGGGAGCCUGAGAAAUGGGUACCAUAUUCAAGGAAGGCAGCAGGUGCACAAAUUACCCAAUCCCGACACGGGGAGGCAGUGACAAUAAAUACUGAUACAGGGCUCUUUUGGGUCUUGUAAUUGGAAUGAGUACAAUUUAAAUCCCUUAACGAGGAACAAUUGGAGGGCAAGUCUGGUGCCAGCAGCCGUGGUAAUUCCAGCUCCAAUAGCAUAUAUUACAGUUUUUGCAGUUAAAAAGCUCGUAGUUGAACCUUGGGCCUGGCUGGCCGGUCCGCCUCACCGCAUGCACUGGUCCGGCAGGAUCUUUCCUUCUGGCUAGCCGCAUGCCCUUCACUGGGUGUGUCGGGGAACCAGAACUUUUACUUUGAAAAAUUAGAGUGUUCAAAGCAGGCAUAUACUCGAAUACAUUAGCAUGGAAUAAUAGAAUAGGACAUGCGGUUCUAUUUUGUUGAUUUCUAGGACCGCCAUAAUGAUUAAUAGGGAUAGUCGGGGGCUUCAGUAUUCAAUUGUCAGAGGUGAAAUUCUUGGAUUUAUGGAAGACUAAGUACUGCGAAAGCAUUUGCCAAGAAUGUUUUCAUGAAUCAGUGAACGAAAGUUAGGGGAUCGAAGACGAUCAGAUACCGUCGUAGUCUUAACCAUAAACUAUGCCGACUAGGGAUCGGGCGAUGUUCUUUUUCUGACUCGCUCGGCACCUUACGAGAAAUCAAAGUCUUUGGGUUCUGAGGGGAGUAUGGUCACAAGGCUGAAACUUAAAGGAAUUGAUGGAAGGGCACCACCAGGAGUGGAGCCUGUCGCUUAAUUUGACUCGACACGGGGAAACUCACCAGGUCCAGACACAUUAAGAAUUGACAGAUUGAGAGCUCUUUCUUGAUCAUGUGGGUGGUGGUGCAGGGCCGUUCUUAGUUGGUGGAGUGAUUUGUUUGAUUAAUUGCGAUAACGAAUGAGACCUUAACCUCCUAAAUAGUCCGACCCGCAUCUCGCGGGCCGCUGGCUUCUUAGAGGGACUAUUGUCUCAAGCCAAUGGAAGUUUGAGGCAACAACCGGUCUGUGAUGCCCUUAGAUGUUCUGGGCCGCACGCGCGCUACACUGACAGAGCCAGCGAGUUCAUCACCUUGGCCGGAAGGUCUGAGUAGUCUCGUUAAACUCUGUCGUGGUGGGGAUAGAGCAUUGCAAUUAUUGCUCUUCAACGAGGAAUUCCUAGUAAGCGCAAGUCAUCAGCUUGCGUUGAUUACGUCCCUGCCCUUUGUACACACCGCCCGUUGCUACUACAUAUUAAAUGGCUUUGUGAGGCCUUCGGAGGCCCUGCAGAGGUUGGCAACGACGACUGCGGGGCACAAAGUUGGUCAAACUUGGUCAUUUAGAGGAAGUAAAAGGCGUAACAAGGUUUCUGUAGGUGAACCUGGGGAAGG
rnacentral:rRNA from 1 species